CAAAUUUUAGUUUAAUAUGUAAAAAAAAAUUAUUCACUUACAUUGAAUAGAUAUAAAAAUUUUAAAUUUUAUAGAUUUGA
rnacentral:tRNA from 1 species